rnacentral:rRNA from 1 species
AACGAACGCUGGCGGCAGGCCUAACACAUGCAAGUCGAACGGUAACAGGCCGCAAGGUGCUGACGAGUGGCGAACGGGUGAGUAAUGCAUCGGAACGCGCCCAGUCGUGGGGGAUAACUGCUCGAAAGAGCAGCUAAUACCGCAUACGAUCUAUGGAUGAAAGCGGGGGACCGUAAGGCCUCGCGCGAUUGGAGCGGCCGAUGUCAGGUUAGGUAGUUGGUUGGGUAAAGGCUCACCAAGCCAACGAUCUGUAGCUGGUCUGAGAGGACGACCAGCCAAACUGGGACUGAGACACGGCCCAGACUCCUACGGGAGGCAGCAGUGGGGAAUUUUGGACAAUGGGGGCAACCCUGAUCCAGCAAUGCCGCGUGCAGGAAGAAGGCCUUCGGGUUGUAAACUGCUUUUGUACGGAACGAAACGGUCUGGGUUAAUACCCUGGGCUAAUGACGGUACCGUAAGAAUAAGCACCGGCUAACUACGUGCCAGCCGCCGCGGUAAGAC